ensembl:lncRNA
GGAACAGAAGCCCGAAACCCUGGGAGUGCCUCCCGCCUAGGGCACUCUUCCUUCCACCCUCAGGAUGGGGAUCACGAUAGUCUCUUAGCAGAUGCGGGCGAGGACGUCUUAUUCGAUUCCCUGACCUCCAGUUCCAUGACAACCUUCUCCGCAGCCCAAGAGAGGCAGACAGGCGGGCGCCCGUCUCUGCACCCUGGAGAAAGAAAUGGAAGUGUGGUUCGGGUGACAACGCAGGCGACUGGUGUGUGCUGCGUAGGACGUAAUCCUGCGCUGCGCAUGCGGCAAAGCAAGGGACCCAAAGCCGCGCGGAGACAGAGGCACAAAUACGCCUGAGGUAGCACUCUCCAUCGCAAAGACCCGGCUACGCGGUAUCGCGUGGCACCCGAGCCAGCCGUCUGGCACGUGAUCCCUUGGCGGCGGCGGCCAGUAGUUACACUUAGACGGUCUCAUGAGCCUCCGAUGGUUCUCAGGCCUCAGUCUGCCAGCUUUCCGAAUAAAGUGGUACUCCUUGCCUCAACACCUCGACUGUCACAUUUAUUUGGCCUGUCAUGUGGUGAGCAGAGCAAGCUUGGACUCGGUAACAGGAUGAGGACAAUCAGAGGCCAGGGCUCUCCAAGGACUCCCAGCAAGAUGUUGAGGAGUCAGAAUGUACCUGUGACAUGGCCCACUCGGAUUCCAUAGGCUGGAAAAGCAGUGCCUUCCCAGUAUGCAGAAGUGCCGUGAGAUUGAGUCUGACCAGUAAGAUUUAAGAGGAAGUCUGCUGACUCAUCUAUUAGAUCAAGCAGAAGACUUGAAAGAGAAAUGUAUCAGACUCAUGCUUCUGGAAAAAAAAUGGAUUUGGAUGUACUUUACCUAUUUCUUCUUCUAAUUAUAACUAAAAUCCUUGGCUGAAAUACAUAAAGCAGCUAUCAUAAGACUCUGAAAGUUGGGGAAAAGAAGGUGGCCUGACCAAGCUCUUUGGGACUUGAAAAAUGGCCCAGCAGUGAGUUUCAAGAGGUUUUAUUUUGCCUCCUGUGUAUCCAGGCCUCAGUGCAAGAGAAUCCUACUCUCACUAGCCAAACGGAUGGGAGAAGCGGGACAAAAUCCAUCCUACUCCAGGUGAGCACCAUGAAAAAAGACACACCUAUCCCCAUUGUCACUAUUUCUGGCCAAGACUAUGGGCUGGAGCUCCUACAACACCUGCACUGACACCAGCAGAGGCAGCUGUCCCCUAACCUGGCACUGCGCAGACUGUGAGGGUGUGCACUGUUGACUAUUGCUGCACUACACUAAGUAAACAGCUGCAAAAAGGGCAGCGUGCUGCUCCUGCACGACUGGUGAUGGGGUGAGAAGCAGAAAAGAGAAAUGGAAAGCAGGAGUCUUUAAAUCUGUGUAUGAAGUCCUGGGCAGACCUUUGAGCAAACCAUCUAUGAAGUUGGCCAUAAUCAACACAGCACACUGAACUAUGUAUGGACUACUGCCCAGGUUUCAGAUUGGCUUCUGGGUUGCACCCAAGUGGGACAGACCAGAAUAGCACUGCAAAGGCUUUGAAAAUGAAUUGACAUUUGAAACACAGCCCACAAAACUGGGCCAGGACAUGCAUUUUGAACCUAAACAGUAUGGCUGUCUUUAAAAAUGGAAGAUCUAAAUAGGAGCCAGAGUCUCAUAAUAUUCAAAUGUAUUGGAUACAAUGCAGAAUGCCUUGUCACAUCAAGAACAAGGAAUAUCCUCAACCUGAAUGACAGAUAUAAAGAACAGAGCCUCAGGGACAGGUGAGACUGUAACAAAAGAUCCAACAUUCACAUCACUGAAGUCCCAAAAGGGGAAGAUAAAAA